GUAUACGUCUACAACUUACCUUACCGCUACACGGUCCAAGAAACUCGAGACUGGAAAUCCAAUGACGCUCUAGACGAGGUAGCGCUUUUGGCCUUUCGUUCUGUUCUUGUCAUCGAGCCUGCUGAAUCCAUAUACGCGGAAGCGUCCGGACCUUCUGCGCGAGAAUUCGCUAACAGAAUGAAGGCGCUGACCAAGCAGCAGUUCAUUAAGUACAUAUCAACCUACCGAAAACCUGUCACCCCACGUGAUUCCCACAUACGUUGCUAUGAAAAUGUUUGUUCAGGU